UACGUAGGGUGCGAGCGUUGUCCGGAAUUACUGGGCGUAAAGAGCUCGUAGGCGGUCUGUCGCGUCGGAUGUGAAAGCCCGGGGCUUAACCCCGGGUCUGCAUUCGAUACGGGCAGACUAGAGUGUGGUAGGGGAGAUCGGAAUUCCUGGUGUAGCGGUGAAAUGCGCAGAUAUCAGGAGGAACACCGGUGGCGAAGGCGGAUCUCUGGGCCAUUACUGACGCUGAGGAGCGAAAGCGUGGGGAGCGAACAGG
rnacentral:rRNA from 1 species